AUUGAACGCUGGCGGCAUGCCUUACACAUGCAAGUCGAACGGUAACGCGGGGCAACCUGGCGACGAGUGGCGAACGGGUGAGUAAAGCAUCGGAACGUGCCCAGUAGUGGGGGAUAGCCCGGCGAAAGCCGGAUUAAUACCGCAUACGACCUAAGGGUGAAAGGGGGGGAUCGCAAGACCUCUCGCUAUUGGAGCGGCCGAUGUCAGAUUAGCUAGUUGGUGGGGUAAAGGCCUACCAAGGCGACGAUCUGUAGCUGGUCUGAGAGGACGACCUGCGACACUGGGCCUGAGACACGGCCCAGACUCCUACGGGAGGCAGCAGUGGGGAAUUUUGGACAAUGGACGCAAGGCGGAUCCAGCCAUGCCGCGUGCGGGAAGAAGGCCUUCGGGUUGUAAACCGCUUUUGUCAGGGAAGAAAUCUUCUGGGUUAAUACCUCGGGAGGAUGACGGUACCUGAAGAAUAAGCACCGGCUAACUACGUGCCAGCCGCCGCAGUAAGAC
rnacentral:rRNA from 1 species